rnacentral:piRNA from 1 species
UAUUUCAAGCUCUUGUUUUUC